ACUCAAAUGAAUAGACGGGGACCCGCACAAGCAGUGGAGCGUGUUGUUCAAUUCGAUACGAAACGAAAAACCUCACCAGGGCUUGACAUGCUAGAGUUCCAUGUCCCGGAAACGGGACAAAUUCGCAAGAAGGCUAGCACAGAUGCUGCAUGGCUGUCGUCAGCUCGUGGCGUGAGCUGUACCCUUAAGUGGGAAAACGAGCGCAACCCUCAUCCUGUGUUAAAUAAUUCACAGGAAACGGUCCCGAUUUUUCGGGAAGGAAGGCGAGGAUGACGUCAAGUCAGCACGGUUCUUACGCCCUGGGCCACAAACACACUACAAUGGCGAAAAACAACGAGCUGCAAGCUAGUAAUAGCAAGCUAAUCUCUUAAAUUUCGCCUCAGUUCAGAUUGAGGGCUGCAACUCGCCCUCAUGAAGUCGGAAUUGCUAGUAAUCGCAGAUCAGCGUGCUGCGGUGAAUACGUUCUCGGGUCUUGUACACACCGCCCGU
rnacentral:rRNA from 1 species